rnacentral:lncRNA from 1 species
AGAAGAAUCCGAGAGGACUAAGCCAUCGGUGGCUUCAACCUAAAGGCUGGGAAGAGAAGACUGACUCCACACAAAGGAAAUAGAGUCAGGAAGAGCUUGUGAGGACUGAUUCGUUAGAGAAGGAGACAGAUGUAAGAUCAAAGUUCUUCAGGAAACAGUGGAAUCUGAGGCCUAGGAGGAAAAUGUGCUUCAUAAAAAACAAGCACAAGUCUCCCCUGAAAGAUGAGAAAAGACAGACUCUGAGUACUCAUGUCCGGAGGCCAAUAAACUGCUGGUAAGCAAGUAAUCGUUUGUGAUCAGCUGAAUCUACCACAAAGAUCAGCAGCCACCCCUUGGGGAGGUACAUCUCCCAGUAGGAGCGGAAUGGCUCACUGCCACCAACUGCAGAGAGGAAGAAGUCAUCAAAUACAUUUACAGCACUACAAAGGGAGAAAAUGGAGACAGCAGAAAACUACCCCACCCCGCACCACUGGCACCGGGAGUAUUCAACUACACAUCAUCCCUAAGUGCAGGAGAAUCCCGUCCAGUGUCAUAUCCUGCAAGGUCACCACCUCAGCAGGGACCGAGGCUUCCAGCUGAAGAUGCAUGCUGAUGAGAAGCAGAACUUACUCUCCAGGAACUCCAUUUGCCUAUCUUCAGAGUUGAUGUGAACUGCAUUUAAACCUUGGGUAGGAGCUGUGCUGUGCUGGACUCUGUUGGAAGCCAGCAAGUGGAGGACACUGGUCUUUCCUGCUCCAUCCAGACCUAGUACUAGGAUCUGCUUAUUUUCUACCUGUGAAAUAAAAGGUAAACCAG